rnacentral:rRNA from 1 species
CCUACGGGUGGCAGCAGUGGGGAAUAUUGGGCAAUGGGCGCAAGCCUGACCCAGCAACGCCGCGUGAAGGAAGAAGGCCUUCGGGUUGUAAACUUCUUUUAAGAGGGAAGAGCAGAAGACGGUACCUCUUGAAUAAGCCACGGCUAACUACGUGCCAGAAGCCGCGGUAAUACGUAGGUGGCAGGCGUUGUCCGGAUUUACUGGGUGUAAAGGGCGUGUAGCCGGGCUGACAAGUCAGAUGUGAAAGUCCGGGGCUCAACUCCGGACCUGCAUGGGAAACUGUUGUGAUGGAGUAUCGGAGAGGCAGGCGGAAGUCCUGGUGUAGCGGUGAAAUGCGUAGAUAUUAGGAGGAACACCAGUGGCGAAGGCGGCCUGCUGGACGACAACUGACGGUGAGGCGCGAAAGCGUGGGGAGCAAACAGGAUUAGAUACCCGUGUAGUC